rnacentral:rRNA from 1 species
GAUGAACGCUGGCGGCGUGCUUAACACAUGCAAGUCGAACGGAAAGGCCCCUUUCGGGGGGUGCUCGAGUGGCGAACGGGUGAGUAACACGUGGGUGAUCUGCCCUGCACUUCGGGAUAAGCUUGGGAAACUGGGUCUAAUACCGGAUAGGACCGCGGGAUGCAUGUUCUGUGGUGGAAAGUUUUUAACGGUGUGGGAUGGGCCCGCGGCCUAUCAGCUUGUUGGUGGGGUGAUGGCCUACCAAGGCGACGACGGGUAGCCGGCCUGAGAGGGUGUCCGGCCACACUGGGACUGAGAUACGGCCCAGACUCCUACGGGAGGCAGCAGUGGGGAAUAUUGCACAAUGGGCGCAAGCCUGAUGCAGCGACGCCGCGUGGGGGAUGACGGCCUUCGGGUUGUAAACCUCUUUCACCAUCGACGAAGGCCCGGUGUUUGUCGGGUUGACGGUAGGUGGAGAAGAAGCACCGGCCAACUACGUGCCAGCAGCCGCCGUAAAAC